rnacentral:rRNA from 1 species
CUCAGGAUGAACGCUGGCGGCGUGCUAACACAUGCAAGUCGAGCGAGAAGGCUUGAACAGAGAUCGUCAAAGGGAAAGCCGGACAGCGGCGGACGGGUGAGUAACGCGUAGGUAACCUACCUUGUGCUGAGGGAUAGCCUAGGGAAACUUGGGAUAAUACCACAUAACGCGUUGAGGUCACAUGGUCUUAACGCCAAAGAUUUAUCGGCAUAAGAUGGACCUGCGUCUGAUUAGCCAGUUGGUGGGGUAACGGCCUACCAAAGCGACGAUCAGUAGCCGACCUGAGAGGGUGAUCGGCCACAUUGGAACUGAGACACGGUCCAAACUCCUACGGGAGGCAGCAGUGGGGAAUAUUGCACAAUGGGCGCAAGCCUGAAUGCAGCAACGCCGCGUGAGCGAAGAAGGUCUUCGGAUUGUAAAGCUCUGUCCUUGGGGACGAAGAAGUGACGGUACCCGAGGAGGAAGCCCCGGCUAACUACGUGCCAGCAGCCGC